rnacentral:tRNA from 1 species
AUAAAAGGGUAAUAAUUACCAACCAAAGUGUUUGGGUGGACUCAUAAUCCCUUGGUCCCAGGUUCGAGUCCUGGUGGGCCCA